UUAUAAAAAUUUAAAAUAAUUACUUAAAAAUUAAUAGAUAAAUUCUUUAAAUUUAAAAAAUUUGGCGGUAUUUUAUUCUUAUUAGAGGAACCUGUUUUAUAAUUGAUAAUCCACGAUUAAUUUUACUUAUUUUUAAAAUUCAUAUAUCGCUGUCAGUAAAUAUAUUAAAAAAUUAUUUUUUAUAAUUAUUAUUUUAAUUUAUGUUAAGUCAAGAUGUGGUUAAUAGAUAAGAUAAUAAUGGGUUACAUUAAAUUAUAUUUUUGGAUAUAAAAUGAAAAUUUAAUUGAAAUUGGAUUUAAUAGUAAUUUAAAUUAUUUAAUUUAUUUGAAUAAAGAUCUAAAAUAUGUACAUAUUGCCCGUCAUUCUUAUAAAAAAUAAGACAAGUCGUAACAAAGUAAAUGUACUGGAAAGUGUAUUUAGAAAGA
rnacentral:rRNA from 1 species